UACAGAGGGGGCAAGCGUUGUUCGGAAUUACUGGGCGUAAAGGGCGCGUAGGCGGCCUUUUAAGUCGGACGUGAAAUCCCUGGGCUCAACCCAGGAACUGCGUCCGAUACUGGAAGGCUUGAAUCCGGUAGAGGGAUGCGGAAUUCCAGGUGUAGCGGUGAAAUGCGUAGAUAUCUGGAGGAACACCGGUGGCGAAGGCGGCAUCCUGGACCGGUAUUGACGCUGAGGCGCGAAAGCCAGGGGAGCAAACGGG
rnacentral:rRNA from 1 species